UUGUUCUGUUAAGUUGUGCUCUUCAACAUAUCUGAAUGAUCCUCAUAGGGAGUUUGAUCUUCUUUCAGAUGUCAUGAGGUAGGAAAGAUAUCUUGGAGGGGUAAAUGCAUAAGAGGGGGUAUUUACCUGUGUUUUUCUGCAUCUCCAGCCAGAUUUGUGUCCCAGAUCAUGGCGGAAUUGCCCUCUCUGGUGUGCACCCGUUCAAGUUCAUGUUGCUGGUGUCUUUGCAAU
rnacentral:lncRNA from 1 species